rnacentral:lncRNA from 1 species
UUUGGAUAUUGGGCUGGGGCUCAGAUUGAGGUUGGUUGGGCUAAAAUGGAUUUUUUGGCUGAAUUUCAACAAUUUAGUUAUGUAAAAAUUACAAAGAACCAAAAUUUUCAAGUUAUCAUUUCAAAAAUUUAGAUUUAAAGUUUGUUUUUGUAAAAAUCAGAUGAUAAUCCAACAUUUUAAUAUCAAUAGUAAUAGUUUAAAAUUAAAUGAAUCUAUAUACCUACCCCAUCUCUAUUCACCCAAACCCUAAUUAUUUUCCUCCAUUCCUUCUCUCUCCCUUCUCUCUUCUUUUUGUUUCAUCGCACUGAAUCAUCAUCGGUGGCGACGCCGCACAUGCCGUUGUCAGCUUGACCGCAGCAAGACACUGUCGACGCAACAACAACACGGUGCGGACAAGAUCCAGUCCAUUUUUUGAACCAUUACCCCGUUUGUUGCUGCUUCAAAACACAAACACAAAACGUAGAAGCAAGCGGCGGUGUCAUCUCGUGUUCGAGGAUAUGAGAGAAGCAACUUCAACUCCGACAUCACGACGCAGCAACUUAGAGUGGUUUUCUUGCUGUCGUGGUUUUCAGCAGCAAUGACGUCAUCUCCAGCCCGAUUAGAUCUGCUUUGUGACAGUUUUCAUGUUGCCUCGUAGUGGUGAUGAGGUAUGGUGGUGGUGGUGAAUCUGCUUCAUGUGUGGUUGUGGUGAUGGUGAUGCAACUUGCAGUUGUGGUAAUGGUGGUGGCGGGUUGGUGGUAAUUUUGGAUAUGCUUUUUUAGAUUUGAAUUUUGGUGGUGUUUGGGUGGAGAUGGUUGUGAUUUUGGUUGCGGUGGUGAGGUUGUGGUGAUGUUGGCAGUGCUGGUGAGGUUGUGGAUAUGUUGGUCGUGGUCAUAUAGUGGUUGUGGUUGAGAUGGAGUGGGUAACGUGUUUAACGUGUUUGUGAUCAAUUAUUUGAUAGACUGUGACCAAUAAAUUGGUUAAUAUGUGACCAGACUAAUGAAAUAGAUAAUUUGUGACAUAAACAUAUGUUAAAUUGUGACCAUUAAUUUAGUAAUUUGUGACCUAAGAAUAUUUUGUGAUCAAUAAUAUGAUAAUUUGUGAUGAUGA